CUUCUCUCCCACCUCUCAGUGAUCACCAGUACUACUGCCAUUCCCCAUUCUCCAAUCCACCUCAACCGCCCAGCUUCCAUGGCUCGGAGCAACCCGGGGCUUCUCCUAGGGCUGCUUCUGCUGCGGCUCAAUUGGUGCUUGGGCGUGGAUGGCGGAGGCGCGGAGGAAGGGGGCGGCGUGUUUCCGGUGGUGGUGAGCACCUGGCCGUUCCGGGAGGCGGUCAGGGCGGCGUGGGACGUGGUGAAAACCGGUGGCGCAGGGGGGUCGGCUGUGGAUGCCGUCGUCGCCGGCUGCUCCGCCUGCGAGGAGCUCCGCUGCGAUGGCACAGUUGGUCCAGGUGGAAGUCCAGAUGAGGAUGGUGAAACUACCUUAGAUGCUCUUAUCAUGAAUGGGGUAAAAGCUACUUUAACCACUCAAGCUACAGUAUAUGCUGAUGUUUAUGUUACGACAUUUAUGGUGGAUGUAAUAGAGCAUUCUUUUUGCUUAAGAAAACUGGCAGAAAACAAUGGAAAUUGGAGCUGUGGCUGCCAUGAGAUAUGUGAAGGAUGCAAUUAUGGCAGCAAAGUUGGUCAUGGAGCACACCGGGCAUACUCUUCUUGUUGGAGAGAAGGCGACAUCCUUUGCGAUUUCAAUGGGUCUUGCAGGACCAACUAACCUGAGUUCACCAGAGUCAAUUGAGAAAUGGUCAAAUUGGAGACAGAAUAAUUGCCAACCUAACUUUUGGAAAAAUGUUGCUCCUGCUGGCAACUGUGGUCCAUACCAUCCUAUAAAUAUACCUAAGGACCCUGUUAAAAGUGCUGUAUGGGAGAAUCAAGGAAUCACUUGUCAGGAAUGGCUCGAAAAUGAUAAUUUACUAGAACCGACAAACUCCCAUUUCAACUCUGUUAAUCGCCACAACCAUGACACAAUCUCUAUGGCCGUCAUUGACAAGAUGGGUCAUGUAGCAGUUGGCACAUCAACUAAUGGUGCUACGUUCAAAAUUCCAGGAAGGUAAGCAUCUUGCCUCUGUUAGGAAAUUUGAAAUAUUGACAUUACAAUUUAGUUGGCCACCUGUUUUUUGCUAAAUCAAUGAUCUGUCUAUUGAAUGCAUCUGCAAUAAUGUAUGAACGACUGCAGUAAUUUUUUUUUGAGGGAAACGACUGCAGUAUUUAGUUGGCCUUGUAUCUUCUAUAUUCAAACUUCUGUCUGAGGGAUAAUAUCAGCCAUAGAACUCACCACUGCCGAAUCCUCUUGUAGUAUUGAUGCUAUGCACUGGUAUAUUUGCAAAGUCACUAAUGUGUGGUGAGUCUUGAUGAUACUUUCUUUAUGGCUGGAUAAAGCUAACAAAAUAGAUGGUGCAUAGUUAGAGGUUACAUAACCUCAUUAAUAGUGGGAUUAAUAUGUCUCAGUAUAUAGGUUUACAAUAUUUAUCCUAACUGGAUUAUGACAGACAUAUUUUUGGUUUGUUCAACUUAUAUUUACGUAGGACAGGAAUACUACUUGAAGCUUCCUUUUGAUAUGUAUAUCAACUUCUGAAAUACUCUGGUAUUGUAUAUCGACUUCUGAAAUACUCUGGUAUUGUAUAUCAACUUCUGAAAUACUCUGUAUAUUUGACAACAUAAUGACAUUGGUGUCAUGCCACAGUUUUCCCUUUUCCGAUGUUGUGGAAGUGGAACAGCUAUUUACCUCUUGAUAGGUAGUACUGACUAAUCAUUUGCUUCCAGGGUAGGUGAUGGACCAAUACCAGGAUCUUCUGCAUAUGGUGAUGAUGAAGUUGGGGCUUGUGGAGCUACUGGUGACGGUGAUAUUAUGAUGCGCUUCCUUCCAUGUUAUCAAGUAGUAGAGAGCAUGCGACUUGGAAUGGAGCCUCGAGAUGCUGCUGUGGAUGCUAUAUCAAGAAUUGCUCGUAAGUACCCAGAUUUUGUUGGUGCUGUAUUUGCGCUUAACAAGAAAGGAGUGCACGCCGGGGCGUGCCAUGGUUGGACCUUUCAGUAUUCUGUCAGGAAUUCCAGCAUGCUGGAUGUGGAGGUCAUCACAGUAACACCUUAACAUAGGCAGAUCCUUAUUAAAACAAAAGGCUGAUUCGCCAAUAAGGUGUAUUCCUUUAUGCCAAGUUCUCUCCAUUCACUCCCAUGGUAAUGCAACAAUAUUAUGUUGGGCUUGUUCCCUGAGUCAUCUAUUGGACUGCAAUUUUCUAUUGAAACUGCCAUGUUAUAUAGGUAGUAGAUUCAUUGAAUGCAUUGUAGACUUCUUGAGAAAAGGCUGGAAUUGCACAUAGUCAACUUUUGUCUUGCAACUACGAGUUUAAUGUACUAGCCAGGUGUGCUUCUUUAAGUCAUCCUCAGAGGUUUUGUGUGGAAUAGGUCAUCUUCAGAGUUGGUAAGGGCAUAUAAUAUUUCACGUACGCUUUGUCAGCUUUGAAGAUUCCCAGAGAACCUCCUCCUUCGUUGUUGUUUUUGCGUUUGGUUUAUUUUCGCACGUUUUCUCCUUUGAUCAACCUAAGUUUGUUGGCAGUAUCAAGUUGACACCCAUUUCUUAUUCCUCUAUGUUAUGUUGUCUUGUUGUUAAUUUUAUCAAUCAUUGUGUCUUACAUAUUUAUCGACAUAAUGCAAGGUUGUCAGCAUUGUCAAUUAAGCGAGAAAAAAGGUAUCUUGAUGACGGUUGUAUUAGGCAGCAAAGAUUGUUAUUUAUUCUCUGAAUAUGCACUCACCUUGUUUUUGGCUUGAAGACCUCGGGUUAUUGCGAUCAUGUUUGCAGGAGAUGAAUGCGUGUUGCUUAGAGAAGUCGGGUUGCGAUCAUGUUUGUACGAAAUGAAUGUGUACAACCCACCAGGACUGGAAAGAAACUUGGAUAAUAA
rnacentral:rRNA from 1 species